UACGGGGGGGGCAAGCGUUGUUCGGAAUUACUGGGCGUAAAGGGCUCGUAGGCGGCCAACUAAGUCAGACGUGAAAUCCCCGGGCUCAACCCGGGAACUGCGUCCGAUACUGGAAGGCUUGAAUCCGGGAGAGGGAUGUGGAAUUCCAGGUGUAGCGGUGAAAUGCGUAGAUAUCUGGAGGAACACCGGUGGCGAAGGCGGCGACCUGGUCCAUUACUGACGCUGAGGCGCGACAGCGUGGGGAGCAAACAGG
rnacentral:rRNA from 1 species